UUCCAGGACAGCCAGGGCUAUACAGAGAAACCCUGUCUUGAAAAAACAAAACAAAACACAAAAACAACAACAACAAAAAGAAUUUAGCUUCAUCAUUUAUCUUGUGGUCAGCCAGUUCCCGGAACAACUCACCCGACCUGUAUUUUUAGUUCUGCUUCACAGUUCCUGAAACUCGGAGCCUGUAAACCGGAUCGCUCUCAGCAAGCCCAGCCAUCCAUCACAGCGUGUAUCCAUCGCACAGGGCAAGGAGAUUUAAGAUCCAGGAAGUGAAACCACAGUUCCCGUGACGCCUCUCGAAGAGACCUGCAGCGCCAGUCGCUGCUGUGAUCUCCCGCCCUGGUUGUGGCUACACCGUGGCAGCAGAGACAGGGGAAUGACCGCGAGCUCUCAGGAUGCAGUGACUUAUGAUGAUGUGCAUGUGAACUUCACUGUGGAAGAG